rnacentral:rRNA from 1 species
AUUGAACGCUGGCGGCAGGCCUAACACAUGCAAGUCGAGCGGAUGAAGGGAGCUUGCUCCUGGAUUCAGCGGCGGACGGGUGUGUAAUGCCUAGGAAUCUGCCUGGUAGUGGGGGAUAACGUCCGGAAACGGGCGCUAAUACCGCAUACGUCCUGAGGGAGAAAGUGGGGGAUCUUCGGACCUCACGCUAUCAGAUGAGCCUAGGUCGGAUUAGCUAGUUGGUGGGGUAAAGGCCUACCAAGGCGACGAUCCGUAACUGGUCUGAGAGGAUGAUCAGUCACACUGGAACGUAGACACGGUCCAGACUCCUACGGGAGGCAGCAGUGGGGAAUAUUGGACAAUGGGCGAAAGCCUGAUCCAGCCAUGCCGCGUGUGUGAAGAAGGUCUUCGGAUUGUAAAGCACUUUAAGUUGGGAGGAAGGGCAGUAAGUUAAUACCUUGCUGUAUUGACGGUACCAACAGAAUAAGCACCGGCUAACUUCGUG